rnacentral:rRNA from 1 species
AUGAUCAUAUAUCAUCUUCUACUCUGUACAUGUUUGUUCGAAUUCAUGAGGUUGCAAGAAUUAAGAAAAUUACAACACCAAUUCUAUUGUACUAAUCAAUGCGCUUAUGCUACUAUGCAGGUAUAUUCGCAGGUUAGUUGCAUGGAUAAGGCCUUCCCAACCGGGCACGCCCAAGAACGCCUCCUGCAGGAGGGCGCCGCCGCCGUCCCGACCAGCACUCCCCCGCCGUCCUACCACGCCCGGACCGCCACGGCAGGUUGGGCCGCAGGAGCAAGGGAGAUGGUCGAUGGGGAGACGGCCCCGCCUCUGAUGCAGCUGGAGACGCUGCUGGCGCUCGGCCUGGACCAGCGCAUGGCGGAGAACGCGCUGGUCAACAGCAAAGUCACCUAG